rnacentral:rRNA from 1 species
GACGAACGCUGGCGGCGUGGAUUAGGCAUGCAAGUCGAACGGUAUCAUCCUUUCGGGGGUGAGAGAGUGGCGAACUGGUGAGUAACACGUAGGUUAUCUACCCUCAAGACGGGGACAACCCAGGGAAACUUGGGCUAAUACCGGAUGUGAGCAACUUUUAGUUGUUUGAAAGGUGGCGUAAGCUGUCGCUUGGGGAUGAGCCUGCGUCCUAUUAGUUAGUUGGUGAGGUAACGGCUCACCUAGGCAAUGAUAGGUAGGCGGCCUUAACGGGUGGUCGCCCACACUGGGAUUGAGAUACGGCCCAGACUCCUACGGGAGGCAGCAGUCGAGAAUAGUCUACAAUGGUCGGAAGACUGAUAGUGCGACGCCGCGUGAACGAUGAAUCCCUUCGGGGUGUAAAGUUCUUUUAUAUGUGAGCAGUGCUUCUUAUAUUAACAGUAUGGGGAGAGAGAUAUUAGCAUAUGAAUAAGCAACGGCUAACUCCGUGCCAGCAGCCGCGGUAAGCUCG